GCUCUUAUGGUGUAAUCAAACACAUUAGAUUUUCGAUCUAAAUUUGAAGUAUUAUAUCUUCUAAGGGCU
rnacentral:tRNA from 1 species